rnacentral:rRNA from 1 species
UACGUAGGUGGCAAGCGUUGUCCGGAAUUAUUGGGCGUAAAGCGCGCGCAGGCGGCCUCUUAAGUCUGAUGUGAAAGCCCCCGGCUCAACCGGGGAGGGCCAUUGGAAACUGGGAGGCUUGAGUAUAGGAGAGAAGAGUGGAAUUCCACGUGUAGCGGUGAAAUGCGUAGAGAGUGUGGAGGAACACCAGUGGCGAAGGCGACUCUUUGGCCUAUAACUGACGCUGAGGCGACGAAAGCGUGGGGAGCGAACAGGAU